CGCAAGCCUAAGCCCAUUGUUGCGCCUGCGCCUUGGUGUCCGGCUUCUGAGAGGAGAGCUGCGCGAGAGGCGACCGUGUUCCUGCCAUUUUGAUUCUUUCUCGCUGGUUGACAUCACCUGUGUGAAAUAUGAGUCGGCAUAUAAUACCAAGGCUCGCCUGGAGUUCAAUACUAGAGGAUGAAGAGUCUGACCAGCCAGUUGGGGCCGUGGUUGACCAGCAGCCCAGGGAUGAACAACCUCAACAAGAGGAGCCACCCACUGAGAGUCAGGAUAUUACACCUGAUGAAGAGAAAGCAGAUGCAGGAGCUCCUGAGGUUCAAGGAAUUGUCCCUGAAGCGGAUCUUGAAGAACUGGCGAAACCACUGACUGGGGUUGAGGGUGGAGAUGAUCCUGAAGUCAUUGGGUAUGCUUGUGCAAAUCCAGAGCCCAUUGAAAUGCCAGAAACAGGGGAAGGAAAACCAGCCAUUUAAAGGAAGAUGAUCUGAAGACACACAGAUUAUUCUUAUGUUGGAUACUUCACUGUUAAAGUUCUCUCAAUAAAGUUUUAC